GUGGGGAAUAUUGCACAAUGGAGGAAACUCUGAUGCAGCGACGCCGCGUGAAGGAUGAAGUAUUUCGGUAUGUAAACUUCUAUCAGCAGGGAAGAAAAUGACGGUACCUGACUAAGAAGCCCCGGCUAACUACGUGCCAGCAGCCGCGGUAAUACGUAGGGGGCAAGCGUUAUCCGGAUUUACUGGGUGUAAAGGGAGCGUAGACGGCACGGCAAGCCAGAUGUGAAAGCCCGGGGCUCAACCCCGGGACUGCAUUUGGAACUGCUGAGCUAGAGUGUCGGAGAGGCAAGUGGAAUUCCUAGUGUAGCGGUGAAAUGCGUAGAUAUUAGGAGGAACACCAGUGGCGAAGGCGGCUUGCUGGACGAUGACUGACGUUGAGGCUCGAAAGCGUGGGGAGCAAACAGGAUUAGAAACCCCAGUAGUCC
rnacentral:rRNA from 1 species